CCCUAGCCCAGAUAGAAGGGAAAAUCCUUUUUUAUUCGCCGCGGCGGACAAACAAGAUUGGAAUGAUAGCUGGAAAUAGC
rnacentral:sRNA from 1 species